CCUACGGGAGGCAGCAGUGAGGAAUAUUGGUCAAUGGACGAGACUCUGAACCAGCCAAGUAGCGUGAAGGAUGACUGCCCUAUGGGUUGUAAACUGCUUUUAUGCAGGGAUAAAACGAGUCACGUGUGCCUUUUUGCAGGUACUUUAUGAAUAAGGCUCGGCUAAUUCCGUGCCAGCAGCCGCGGUAAUACGGAGGGUCCGGGCGUUAUCCGGAUUUAUUGGGUUUAAAGGGAGCGUAGGUCGCCUGUUAAGCUAGUUGUGAAAUGUUGCGGCUCAACCGUGGAAUUGCACUGGAUACUGGUGGUCUUGAGUGCAGUUGAGGUAGGCGGAAUUCGUGGUGUAGCGGUGAAAUGCUUAGAUAUCACGAAGAACCCCGAUUGCGAAGGCAGCUUACUGAACUGUGACUGACAUUGAGGCUCGAAAGUGUGGGUAUCAAACAGGAUUAGAUACCCCUGUAGUC
rnacentral:rRNA from 1 species